GCACGACUGCUCGCUGUAGGUAUUGGCAGUGGCAUGAUAUGAGAUGAGCAUGCAUGUCUAGUAUAAGCAAUCUAUACCGUGAAACUGCGAAUGGCUCAUUAAAUCAGUUAUCGUUUAUUUGAUAGUACCUUACUACUUGGAUAACCGUGGUAAUUCUAGAGCUAAUACAUGCUAAAAACCUCGACUUCGGAAGGGGUGUAUUUAUUAGAUAAAAAACCAAUGCCCUUCGGGGCUCCUUGGUGAUUCAUGAUAACUUAACGAAUCGCAUGGCCUUGUGCCGGCGAUGGUUCAUUCAAAUUUCUGCCCUAUCAACUUUCGAUGGUAGGAUAGUGGCCUACCAUGGUUUCAACGGGUAACGGGGAAUUAGGGUUCUAUUCCGGAGAGGGAGCCUGAGAAACGGCUACCACAUCCAAGGAAGGCAGCAGGCGCGCAAAUUACCCAAUCCCGACACGGGGAGGUAGUGACAAUAAAUACUGAUACGGAGCUCUUUUGGGUUUCGUAAUUGGAAUGAGUACAAUUUAAAUCCCUUAACGAGGAACAAUUGGAGGGCAAGUCUGGUGCCAGCAGCCGCGGUAAUUCCAGCUCCAAUAGCGUAUAUUAAAGUUGUUGCAGUUAAAAAGCUCGUAGUUGAACCUUGGGCCUGGCUGGCCGGUCCGCCUCACCGCGUGCACUGGUCCGGCCGGGCCUUUCCUUCUGGGGAACCGCAUGCCCUUCACUGGGUGUGUCGGGGAUCCAGGACUUUUACUUUGAAAAAAUUAGAGUGUUCAAAGCAGGCCUAUGCUCGAAUACAUUAGCAUGGAAUAAUAGAAUAGGACGUGUGGUUCUAUUUUGUUGGUUUCUAGGACCGCCGUAAUGAUUAAUAGGGAUAGUCGGGGGCAUCAGUAUUCAAUUGUCAGAGGUGAAAUUCUUGGAUUUAUUGAAGACUAACUACUGCGAAAGCAUUUGCCAAGGAUGUUUUCAUUAAUCAGUGAACGAAAGUUAGGGGAUCGAAGACGAUCAGAUACCGUCGUAGUCUUAACCAUAAACUAUGCCGACUAGGGAUCGGGCGAUGUUAUUAUUUUGACUCGCUCGGCACCUUACGAGAAAUCAAAGUUUUUGGGUUCUGGGGGGAGUAUGGUCGCAAGGCUGAAACUUAAAGAAAUGACG
rnacentral:rRNA from 1 species